GAAAUGAGAUAAGUAAUGUGAAUUGCAGAAUUCCGUGAAUCAUCGAAUCUUUGAACGCACAUUGCGCCCCCUGGCAUUCCGGGGGGCAUGCCUGUCCGAGCGUCAUUUCUGCCCUCAAGCACGGCUUGUGUGUUGGGUGUGGUCCCCCCGGGGACCUGCCCGAAAGGCAGCGGCGACGUCCGUCUGGUCCUCGAGCGUAUGGGGCUCUGUCACUCGCUCGGGAAGGACCUGCGGGGGUUGGUCACCACCAUAUUUCACCACGGUUGACCUCGGAUCAGGUAGGAGUUACCCGCUGAACUUAAGC
rnacentral:misc_RNA from 1 species